UACAUCCUCUGCAAGCCUGUUGUGUUCCUUUUACAGCGCAACGUGUGAAGAAGUUUAAAAGAAACACUUUAGUGGGAAUAGUUUUAAGAAGUUUCUUCUUAAAUCAUUCCAAAAGUGUAUGACAGACUCGGCUGUGAAGCCUCGAUCGCAAUCAUGUCACCUCAAUGUCUGCUGUAUACUACAAUCAUCUUAUGGUUAUUUUCUCUCUCAGUUUGGAGAGGAUCACCCUCAGACAAGCAGCAGCAAAGAGUUUCUGUGCACCAUAACCAAGCAAGCAGUGAAGGUGGAGCGCUCUCUCAGACAGGCAGGAGCUGACUGCAUGGAGCAGACAGUGGAGUGUCUAACUUCCACAUCUGAUGCUGUGCUGGAGCAAAUGGUUCUGAUGACAGGGAUCAGGAGCAUAACACACAGAGACGGGCUCCAGGAGUAUAGGAAGAAACACAAAGAACUGAAGGCAGCGGUGGCAAAAGAACUGGGAUUCAUAGUAACUAACGGGAUCGUCACCUCGAUUGUGAACGAAGAAGAGAAAAGCUCAGAUCAAGAAACGGGAAACGGGAAGGAAGCUGAGGGUGGAGGAAGCCCAGCAGUGGAGGAUGCCAGCGAGAGCCAACAGGAACAGCCAGAGAAAGAGAGCUUGGUGAAGAGUGCUGCUAUAGCUAAUGGUCAUGUGGUGGAGCCGGCUGAAGAGAGCCAACAUGAGGAGAAAGCAGAUGCAGGAGACAGUGACAGAGCAGCUUCAGAUGCUGAGGUCAAGAUAGUUAAUGGGGAGUCAGAGGUCAGGGCUGCAGGACAGGAAACUGAGAGCAGUGCACCACAUGAAGUAAACAGCAACAUAACCAAUGGAGAGGUAAAAUCUGAUGCAACAGCUGAUGAGAUGAAGUCAAAUGAGGUUAAUGGUGAAAUAAAUGGAGCCGGUGACGUCACUGUAAGCCCAUCAGUCCUUAAGAGUAAAGGAACAUGGGCAGAUGUCGUUUCAAAAGCCGAUGGAGCAGGAAAAACAGCAGUCAAUGGAGUAGCAGGUAACAUCACUGCUAAUGGAGAAGCUGAAGAGUAGAAACGUGUUAAACGUUGUACUCAAGUUUUUCCAAGUCACUGCUGUAAGAUGAAACUCUCCCAUGAUCCGAGAUGUAAUGAUCCAAUGAACAUAAAGCAGCCAACAGAGUGAGAUGAUGAAUAUUAGUUUGUACUGGAGAUGUUAUUGCUGAUGCUGGGAGAGGGCUGUACUGUUGAGUGUUAUUCUUUUUCAACAAUAAAAUGUUUACUCUGGUUUACCAGUGAUGUUGCUUUUUUUGGGAUAAUAUUAAAUAAUAUGUAAAUGU
rnacentral:lncRNA from 1 species